UUGAUCGGUAGUCUGUUGAAUUUUAAGUAAUAAUACAACUCAACUUACAAUAGUAUUUCGUAUUGUAGACUAAUUUCCGAUCAGGAGAAAAAAUUAGUGAUGGACCAAAUUAGCGCGGAUGCAGCGCUCUCAGACGAGUCGGCAGUUUGAAACUUGGUAACAUCCUAUUAGGGCAUGGCAAUUAGCUCAGAUUUAAGCCUGAACCGAGAUUCAAUGCCUCAUCUUCGCAACGAGGCUUGCAUUAUGGACAAUUUCACUUUAGUUCUUGACAGGAACUAAAACCACUGCUGACACUUUUGAUAUCUGUUUACGUCUGUGUUCCGCCUCGUCUAUUCCUAAUCAGUAUUUAGGCAAGCUGGACCAGUCUUAGGGAAAAUGCCUGUUUUUUAAUACUGCCAUACCAAAAGUUUACAGGGACUGGUUGACGCACGUAUUACCAGCUUGCUAUAGGGGCGUAUAUGUGUGUGAAGCACUUAUACAAGAUAAAGACGAUCCUGAUACGUCUUAGAUAUCUUCUUCCUCUAAUAUGUAAACAAGAUCACAUUCAAUAGUGUGUUGUAGCAGAGCAUAGUCUUUGCUCUGAUUUGAAAUCUGAAAAAGGUGUUAGACGGACUCAAGUUUAUCUUUGCCGGUGGAGAAUGCAACUUUCCAUGUAAUGUUAGGUUGUCCAGAAAGUACUGACCGUUUCAAGCAAUUCAUAUAAGUUGAUAUUAUUAAGCUAAACAAGCGCCAUUUUGAUCGACGACCUUCUGUCACCUUUUUGGCAAUAUCACAGUUCCAUCCAACUUGUAUAACUGGUGAACGAAGCCUUGCGACAAAUGAUUUUUGCAUCCUUCCAUUGAAGCAGAAUCAACGCCAUUAAAGGCGUAUAGCAGGGACCGAAACGGACGACAAUUAAACGAUGCAAGGUCCAGGCUAUACUGUGGAUGGAUUUAAAUUGCCCAUCCAAAUUCUUUCAAAUUUUUCCGAGUAUCUAAAAUGUCUGUGGCUGGCAUUAUCGUGGUAGGAAUGACAAUGUCUCUUCUGCUCACUGGCUCUGGUUGAUUUUUUCAAUGACUCGUUGUUGUUAACAGUCGAGGUCCAAAUCGAUUGUUCUACCCAGCGGUAGCAGCUUAUAGCGUAUGAUUCCUCUCGAACCUUACCAAACACGUAGCAUCGCCUUCGCCACUAACUAUCAAGUUUCCUCGCCGCGACUAUGUCUUUUUUUCACGCAGUUCUGUCGAAUCUCACUCGUCUUCAAGGCGGCCUAUCUUAAGUCUGAACAAAGGCAUUCUGAUAAUCCAGAUUUCAAGUCAAGACAAACGCCGUCCGUAUAUAACUCGUAAUACCUGAGCUUAACCACUGAAUUGACUGUCUUCGUACGCUACGCAAUAUACCCUACACCGCAGUUAGCGUUUAGUCAUUUUCCGCACGAGUCGUCGGCGUAUCGUCCGCUACCGGUUCGUUCAGCGCAACCGUCGUUGUGCGUCUAGUGAACACGCCGGGAUUAUGGAAACAAAAUCGGCACGCGAAGAGAUACCGAACAAGAAUGGCGUGGAGGAAUUGUAAUGGCGUUGCAUUGUAAAACCGUUCCACCCUCUAACGAUAGUGCCAGCCGCAGCGGCAGUGGCGGCGGCAGCGGCACUGGUAAGCCGGAGCUGGCAGCAGCAGCAAUAGCUGCCUUCUGUUUUCCAGGGCUGUUAGUUUCUGUGCCUAUGUCUUUCAGUAUUCGUUUCACUAUUGCGCCGCUCUGGCUACGGCAGCAUGAGAAGACGAAGGAAAAAUAGAACAGGAGAGAGAGAGAGAGAGUGAGCUUGGUGGGUAGAGGGAAAAAGGGAUAUUGGUCUCUUACGAAAUCGAUUCUUGGCGAACUCAGCCCCGUGGCAGCCCAGCGUUUCUCAAGCGGGCUAUCCCUAAGAAUUAGGUCUGUAAACCAAUCGGUAAAUAGUAGGUAGUGGCGUUAAGGCUUGGGAUUGGGAACACCGCGAGGCAGGUGGGAGACCACAGGAAUCAGCAACUGGGAACUGUAGUGUAGUUAAGCGAUGAGUGUUAUCAUAACUAUCAUUACCCCUAUUCAUGCCGAAGUCGAGUGCGGUCUGCCCUAAAGCGGAAGAGCAAUGUUGAACGGAAAGAAACAGUACGUGGCUUAGUGACUGAACAGGGGUCCGUUGGCCAGAGUGAUUCUGAUGCUAUCGCGAAUGUUACAGCUAUCAGUUACCCGUUUUAUCUUUGUUUUUCUCGUAGACCUCAAUGACUUGUAGAGUCUGCGCCGGUAUUACUCAGUCACCGGUGUGUACCUCCCCUAUCAAGGGGUUACCUUCUUAGCUGUUCGCGUAUCGAGUUGUAGUCUUUCUCUCAUCCUGUUGGGGCACUUCAUGCUUAACCAGCAACGAUGAGGUUCUGUACAGUGGUUAUAACAGAAGCUUCAUUACCUCAACAACUGCUGAAGACUACCCUCAUUCCUUCACGGUUUUUGAAACCUGACAGUUCUGUUCCAGCACAAGCUUUUUAUACUGCCUCUGGCUAAGCUCGUACAUGCUCUUAAACAGUCGCUGUCGGCCGCCAAUUAGAUAAAAUUCUACAAAAUGCUUUUUAUAACUACUCACUUCCUUCUCUUUCUUGUCCACUGCCAUAGUCACAAUAGCUUUGCGGGAGGUGGGGAAAAGAGCAAAAAUUUUAAAGCUAGCGCGUAUUUACGUACGGUGCACGCUUACAUAUUGGCUAAAAUUAUCCAACAAUAUUCCGACGCCCCCCAGAAAUAUAACAACAAUACGGACUUCUUUAGCCUCUAUAAAUAUCACUCGUCAGAUUGGCAGAGACGCACGCUUUCAAUGGAAUAAUGUUAAAAUGUAUACUACUCACGACUAUGAAACUACCGACGAACUACGAUCUAACUUUUAGGAUAUAAGCCAUUGCUGUUAUAUAACGCAGUCAGAGUCAGCACUGCUCAACUUAGUCUAA
rnacentral:lncRNA from 1 species